ACCGAAGUCCUAGGAUCCCCCCAACUCCAACGCUGCAAAAACUGCAAACCAACCAGCUACUCCAUCCUAUUUCCGGCAAGCAGCAACCGACGGCCGGCUAAUCCGGGGCACGCAGCGAACCAACCGCCGCCGAGAGCUUCGCUCGCGGCCGCUCGCGCCAUGGCCGCAGAGCUCCUAUAAAGCGGCGCCUCGUCCCGAGGCAGGAGAAGCAAUUGAGAGAUCACUCAGGUACGCCGGCCGUCGAGCGCGCAGUGUCUCCCAAUUCCACCCAAUAAACCGAAACUAAUAACAUCUCCUCGAGCGCGAGGCGAGGCGAGGUCGGCUUUCCCUUAAUUUCCUUCAUCCAGCAGCAGGAGCAGCAAGCGACGAUCCGGUCCGGCCACCACCACCACCAGCCGCCAUGGAGAUGAAGAAGGUCCUCGUCGCCGCGCUCGUCGCCGCCGCCUCGGCCACCGCCGUGCUGGCCUCGGUCGCCACCGAGGCGACCGCGCCCUCCGAGGCAGGCGCGGCAGGCGCGCCCGCCGGCGCGGCCGGCGGUGCGGCUGGCCCUGGCGCCAGCGGCGCCACCGCCGCCGCCGUGCCCGCCGCCGGGGCGCUCGUCGCCUCCUUCCUUGCCUACUACCUCCACUGAGCGACGAGACGACGCCCUACGCUGGCCGCGCGCGCAGGGCGGGAAACUUGGGAUCCGCAUCGUGUUUGGUUCAUCCGAUUAAUUAAGGCACAUUAAUCUAAUUAUUAUUUUUAAUCUGUGGUUUGCGUUUGGUUAAUUAUGUGUUCGUUCGUUCGUUUAUGAUCGUGUGGAUUGUCAAGGGUUUAUUCUGUAAUCGUGCCUGAUCGAUGCUAAUAUAUUAUGGUCCCAGUUUGAUUUUGUGAUAUAAUUGAUGAUUUUGUGAUUCUAUACACGUCCUUUUUCAGCGUUAUUUCAACAGUACUUGAAAGAAUAAUAUAAGUUACAACAAAUCAACAUAAGCAGACCAAAUUUCAGUCAAUACACCUUUUUUUGGAAUCAGAUACCUUUCGCUUCAAUCAAAUCAAAGAAAAAAAAAACAAAUCGAUGCCUUUUUAUUCCAUUCCAAUUGAUAUAUGUUGUACUACGACGUUUCAGAAUUAAUUAAUUCAAACGAUGUGGAAAGAAAAUAUUGUUGGUGCAGUUAUGGUUUGCAUCAUGAUUCAU
rnacentral:lncRNA from 1 species